GGGCUCGUAGUUCAGUUGGUAGAACGCCGCAUUCGCAUUGCGGAAAUCAGGGGUUCGAUUCCCCUCGAGUCCACCA
rnacentral:tRNA from 4 species